GAUGAAGAACGUAGCGAAAUGCGAUACGUAAUGUGAAUUGCAGAAUUCAGUGAAUCAUCGAGUCUUUGAACGCACAUUGCGCCCUCUGGUAUUCCGGAGGGCAUGCCUGUCCGAGCGUCAUUGCUGCCCUCAAGCACGGCUUGUGUGUUGGGCCCCGCCCCCCGAUCCCGGGGGGCGGGCCCGAAAGGCAGCGGCGGCACCGCGUCCGGUCCUCGAGCGUAUGGGGCUUUGUCACCCGCUCUGUAGGCCCGGCCGUCGCCUGCCGAUCAACCAAACUUUUUUCCAGGUUGACCUCGGAUCAGGUAGGGAUACCCGCUGAACUUAAGCAUAUCAAUAAGCGGAGGA
rnacentral:misc_RNA from 1 species